rnacentral:rRNA from 1 species
UACGUAGGCAGCAAGCGUUGUUCGGAAUUACUGGGCGUAAAGAGUGUGUAGGCGGUGUUCUAAGUCUGUUGUGAAAUCUCCCGGCUUAACUGGGAGGGUGCGGCGGAAACUGGAAUGCUAGAGGAUGGGAGAGGUAAGCGGAAUUCCUGGUGUAGCGGUGAAAUGCGUAGAUAUCAGGAGGAACACCUGUGGCGAAGGCGGCACUCUGGGCCGGUACUGACGCUGAGGAGCGAAAGCGUGGGGAGCGAACAGG